UACGGAGGGUGCAAGCGUUAUCCGGAAUCAUUGGGUUUAAAGGGUCCGCAGGCGGUCAAUUAAGUCAGAGGUGAAAUCCCGUCGCUCAACGACGGGACUGCCUUUGAUACUGGUUGACUUGAGUUAUACGGAAGUAGAUAGAAUAAGUAGUGUUGCGGUUAAAUGCAUAGAUAUUACGUAGAAUACCGAUUGCGAAGGCAGGCUACUACGUAUAUACUGACGCUCAUGGACGAAAGCGUGGGGAGCGAACAGG
rnacentral:rRNA from 1 species